UACGGGGGGUGCAAGCGUUGUUCGGAAUUACUGGGCGUAAAGGGCUUGUAGGUGGCCAACUAAGUCAGGCGUGAAAUCCCUCGGCUUAACCGGGGAACUGCGUCUGAUACUGGAUGGCUUGAGUGUGGGAGAGGGAUGCGGAAUUCCAGGUGUAGCGGUGAAAUGCGUAGAUAUCCGGAGGAACACCGGUGGCGAAGGCGGCUUCCUGGACCGAUCACUGACGCUGAGGCGCGAAAGCUAGGGGAGCAAACGGG
rnacentral:rRNA from 1 species